rnacentral:misc_RNA from 1 species
UCCGGUUUGUCACCGGCAGUCUCGCGUGAGUCCCCAACUUAAUGCUGGCAACGCGCGACAAGGGUUGCGCUCGUUGCGGGACUUAACCCAACAUCUCACGACACGAGCUGACGACAGCCAUGCACCACCUGUGAUCGCGCCCCGAAGGGAGGGUGUGUUUCCACACCUGUCACGAACAUGUCGAGCCCAGGUAAGGUUCUUCGCGUUGCGUCGAAUUAAACCACAUGCUCCGCUGCUUGUGCGGGCCCCCGUCAAUUCCUUUGAGUUUCACCCUUGCGGGCGUACUCCCCAGGUGGAAUACUUAACGCUUUCGCUUAGCCGCUAACUGUAUAUCGCUAACAGCGAGUAUUCAUCGUUUAGGGCGUGGACUAC